rnacentral:tRNA from 1 species
AACUGCAACCUUGGUUUUGAUUUCUUAUCCUGGGUCU